rnacentral:rRNA from 1 species
GUGGAUUAGAUACCCUGGUAGUCCACGCUGUAAACGUUGGGCGCUAGGUGUGGGGGGCCUCUCCGGUUCUCUGUGCCGCAGCUAACGCAUUAAGCGCCCCGCCUGGGGAGUACGGCCGCAAGGCUAAAACUCAAAGGAAUUGACGGGGGCCCGCACAAGCGGCGGAGCAUGCGGAUUAAUUCGAUGCAACGCGAAGAACCUUACCUGGGUUUGACAUGGCCGCAAAACUGUCAGAGAUGGCAGGUCCUUCGGGGGCGGUCACAGGUGGUGCACGGCCGUCGACAACU